GGGUUGUGAGGUUAAGCGACUAAGCGUACACGGUGGAUGCCCUGGCAGUCAGAGGCGAUGAAGGACGUGCUAAUCUGCGAAAAGCGCCGGCGAGGUGAUAUGAACCUUUGACCCGGCGAUGUCCGAAUGGGGAAACCCAGUGUGAUUCGUCACACUAUCGUUAACUGAAUACAUAGGUUAACGAGGCGAACCGGGGGAACUGAAACAUCUAAGUACCCCGAGGAAAAGAAAUCAACCGAGAUUCCCCCAGUAGCGGCGAGCGAACGGGGAGCAGCCCAGAGUCUGAAUCAGCUUGUGUGUUAGUGGAAGCGUCUGGAAAGUCGCACGGUACAGGGUGACAGUCCCGUACACGAAAAUGCACAGGUUGUGAACUCGAAGAGUAGGGCGGGACACGUGGUAUCCUGUCUGAAUAUGGGGGGACCAUCCUCCAAGGCUAAAUACUCCUGACUGACCGAUAGUGAACCAGUACCGUGAGGGAAAGGCGAAAAGAACCCCGGCGAGGGGAGUGAAAUAGAACCUGAAACCGUGUACGUACAAGCAGUGGGAGCACCUUCGUGGUGUGACUGCGUACCUUUUGUAUAAUGGGUCAGCGACUUAUAUUCUGUAGCAAGGUUAACCGUAUAGGGGAGCCGAAGGGAAACCGAGUCUUAACUGGGCGUUAAGUUGCAGGGUAUAGACCCGAAACCCGGUGAUCUAGCCAUGGGCAGGUUGAAGGUUGGGUAACACUAACUGGAGGACCGAACCGACUAAUGUUGAAAAAUUAGCGGAUGACUUGUGGCUGGGGGUGAAAGGCCAAUCAAACCGGGAGAUAGCUGGUUCUCCCCGAAAGCUAUUUAGGUAGCGCCUCGUGAACUCAUCUUCGGGGGUAGAGCACUGUUUCGGCUAGGGGGCCAUCCCGGCUUACCAACCCGAUGCAAACUACGAAUACCGAAGAAUGUUAUCACGGGAGACACACGGCGGGUGCUAACGUCCGUCGUGAAGAGGGAAACAACCCAGACCGCCAGCUAAGGUCCCAAAGUCAUGGUUAAGUGGGAAACGAUGUGGGAAGGCACAGACAGCCAGGAUGUUGGCUUAGAAGCAGCCAUCAUUUAAAGAAAGCGUAAUAGCUCACUGGUCGAGUCGGCCUGCGCGGAAGAUGUAACGGGGCUAAACCAUGCACCGAAGCUGCGGCAGCGACACUAUGUGUUGUUGGGUAGGGGAGCGUUCUGUAAGCCGUUGAAGGUGUGCUGUGAGGCAUGCUGGAGGUAUCAGAAGUGCGAAUGCUGACAUAAGUAACGAUAAAGCGGGUGAAAAGCCCGCUCGCCGGAAGACCAAGGGUUCCUGUCCAACGUUAAUCGGGGCAGGGUGAGUCGACCCCUAAGGCGAGGCCGAAAGGCGUAGUCGAUGGGAAACAGGUUAAUAUUCCUGUACUUGGUGUUACUGCGAAGGGGGGACGGAGAAGGCUAUGUUAGCCGGGCGACGGUUGUCCCGGUUUAAGCAUGUAGGCGGAACGAUUAGGUAAAUCCGGUCGUUUUUUAACGCUGAGGUGUGAUGACGAGGCACUACGGUGCUGAAGUAACAAAUGCCCUGCUUCCAGGAAAAGCCUCUAAGCAUCAGGUAACAUUAAAUCGUACCCCAAACCGACACAGGUGGUCAGGUAGAGAAUACCAAGGCGCUUGAGAGAACUCGGGUGAAGGAACUAGGCAAAAUGGUGCCGUAACUUCGGGAGAAGGCACGCUGAUAUGUAGGUGAAGCCCCUGCGGGUGGAGCUGAAAUCAGUCGAAGAUACCAGCUGGCUGCAACUGUUUAUUAAAAACACAGCACUGUGCAAACACGAAAGUGGACGUAUACGGUGUGACGCCUGCCCGGUGCCGGAAGGUUAAUUGAUGGGGUUAGCGGCAACGCGAAGCUCUUGAUCGAAGCCCCGGUAAACGGCGGCCGUAACUAUAACGGUCCUAAGGUAGCGAAAUUCCUUGUCGGGUAAGUUCCGACCUGCACGAAUGGCGUAAUGAUGGCCAGGCUGUCUCCACCCGAGACUCAGUGAAAUUGAACUCGCUGUGAAGAUGCAGUGUACCCGCGGCAAGACGGAAAGACCCCGUGAACCUUUACUAUAGCUUGACACUGAACACUGGUCCUUGAUGUGUAGGAUAGGUGGGAGGCUUUGAAGUGUGGACGCCAGUCUGCAUGGAGCCGUCCUUGAAAUACCACCCUUUAAUGGCUGGUGUUCUAACGUAGACCCGUAAUCCGGGUUGCGGACAGUGUCUGGUGGGUAGUUUGACUGGGGCGGUCUCCUCCCAAAGAGUAACGGAGGAGCACGAAGGUUAGCUAAUCCUGGUCGGACAUCAGGAGGUUAGUGCAAUGGCAUAAGCUAGCUUGACUGCGAGAGUGACGGCUCGAGCAGGUGCGAAAGCAGGUCAUAGUGAUCCGGUGGUUCUGAAUGGAAGGGCCAUCGCUCAACGGAUAAAAGGUACUCCGGGGAUAACAGGCUGAUACCGCCCAAGAGUUCAUAUCGACGGCGGUGUUUGGCACCUCGAUGUCGGCUCAUCACAUCCUGGGGCUGAAGUAGGUCCCAAGGGUAUGGCUGUUCGCCAUUUAAAGUGGUACGCGAGCUGGGUUUAGAACGUCGUGAGACAGUUCGGUCCCUAUCUGCCGUGGGCGCUGGAGAAUUGAGGGGGGCUGCUCCUAGUACGAGAGGACCGGAGUGGACGCAUCACUGGUGUUCGGGUUGUCAUGCCAAUGGCACUGCCCGGUAGCUAAAUGCGGAAAAGAUAAGUGCUGAAAGCAUCUAAGCACGAAACUUGCCCCGAGAUGAGUUCUCCCUGAGACUUUAAGUCUCCUGAAGGAACGUUAAAGACGAUGACGUUGAUAGGUCGGGUGUGUAAGCGCAGCGAUGCGUUGAGCUAACCGAUACUAAUGAACCGUGAGGCUUAACCUUACAACGCCGAAGGUGUUU
rnacentral:rRNA from 1 species